rnacentral:rRNA from 1 species
GACGAACGCUGGCGGCGUGCCUAAUACAUGCAAGUCGAGCGGAGUUAGAGAAGCUUGCUUCUCUAACUUAGCGGCGGACGGGUGAGUAACACGUGGGCAACCUACCUUGUAGAUUGGGAUAACUCCGGGAAACCGGGGCUAAUACCGAAUAAUCCAUUUUGCUUCAUGGCGAGAUGUUGAAAGACGGUUUCGGCUGUCACUACAAGAUGGGCCCGCGGCGCAUUAGCUAGUUGGUAGGGUAAUGGCCUACCAAGGCGACGAUGCGUAGCCGACCUGAGAGGGUGAUCGGCCACACUGGGACUGAGACACGGCCCAGACUCCUACGGGAGGCAGCAGUAGGGAAUCUUCCACAAUGGACGAAAGUCUGAUGGAGCAACGCCGCGUGAGUGGAGAAGGUUUUCGGAUCGUAAAACUCUGUUGUAAGGGAAGAACACGUACGAGAGUAACUGCUCGUACCUUGACGGUACCUUAUUAGAAAGCCACGGCUAACUACGUG